rnacentral:rRNA from 1 species
UACGUAGGGUGCAAGCGUUGUCCGGAAUUAUUGGGCGUAAAGAGCUCGUAGGCGGUCUGUCACGUCGGCUGUGAAAACCCGAGGCUCAACCUCGGGCCUGCAGUCGAUACGGGCAAACUAGAGUACUGCAGGGGAGACUGGAAUUCCUGGUGUAGCGGUGAAAUGCGCAGAUAUCUGGAGGAAUACCGGUGGCGAAGGCGGCAUCCUGGACCGAGAUUGACGCUGAUGAGCGAAAGCUAGGGGAGCAAACGGG